rnacentral:sRNA from 1 species
UGUUACAUAUCUUGAUAAGCCAUUUUGGUACUUAUCAAUUGGUGCUUUCAUUGAGAGUUGAACUCAAGACUACUCAAGCUGCUCAAACCAAUCAAGCCGCCACAAUCUCUGAUCUAGAAGCAACACUCGAUCGAUUUGUUGAAAAGGUGGAGGAAAAGCUAGAUUCCAUCGUCCAAAGGCUUGAAGCUCAACAAGAGGAGUAUCGAAAAGGGAUUCGUGAAAUUUUUGCUACGCUUUUUCCGGUGAAUGCAACUGAAGAACCACCUGAGAAGAGGAAACAAGAACAUCACGAGCUGCCUCAAGGUCUCACGACCAAAUCUGAACCCACACCAAGGAAAAAUGCAGAAAUCUCGCCUGGGCGUUUUGUCGAACACUUGGCGUGUGUUUCACCAGCAGAAGAAUUUCGAUUCUGGAUUAUCAAGUACCAAAAUGGCUUAUCAAGUGAAGUAACAGAAAUGAGGUGAGAUACAGAAGAAAUAGAGAUGAGAUUCAGAAGAGUUCAGAGAAAGGCAGGAAGAAGAAGAGAGAAGAUGAAGAAGAUAAACAUUUCUUGUUCUUAAUCGAUAAGUGUUUUUCAAUGACUAAAGAAGAGUUUAAAUAAAAGACAUUACUAAAGUAAACAGGCCAAACACUAAGCCAAUUGAUAAGCGUGAACUUAUCAAGAAGGAAAACAGAGAAUAGAAGUAGAAAAGGAAGAAGAAGUAUAGGAUAGAAGUCGAG